AAUGUUGGCUAUACUUAUGCAAAGUAUUGGAUUUACGCUUCUGCUUUGUGAUGCCUCCCAAACCUCUAGAAUAGAUAGAGAAUCCAAAAAGGAGCUGUAGGAAAUGCAAUUUAUUAGCAAUUUUUUAAUAACAUAAUUCCUCAGAUAAAAAUGCAAUGUUACAGGAAUAUACAUCAGAUUAAUUUAAAACUUGCUUUCAAGGACCGUACAGUCUAAAUAUAUUUUUCAUGUUUUAUUUACUCGUAGCGUGCGUUAUAAGCAAGACAGACUCUGUCACCAAAGACAGACUGACAUUAACAGAUACAAACUGUACAUCACUUAUAUACAAAUCAACUUUUUAUUUCGUUUUUUCAGUUAUUUUGAAAAUAGAAGUAGAAAAAGUGAUUGAAUAUUCAGAUUUUUAUUUAUUGUAUUCUUUCUCUUUAAAAAUUGGUUUAAAUGAAAGAAUGAAACAAGAAAUGAAAAAUAAAGUAAUAGAAUUGUUUAUCUUUUUAUAGAAAAUAAGAAUAGAGGGAAUGGGUGGAAAUGUCUGGUGAGACCAUGCAGACUUGUCAUUCAAAGGAGAAAAGGGGGUUUGGAUUUGGGCAAAUCCACUCAACAACUCCCCAAAAACUAGUCGAACCCCUCACAUGAAGUGAGUGACUGUCUCUGAGCAUGAGGAAAUUGAUACAAAACAAGAUGGCUGCCUCCAAAGCUACCAUAAUGCACAAUACACAUUCUAGUUCAUUUUAAUGACCAUAAAUAGUGCUGUUCUUCUUAAAAUACUACAUUUAACAGUAGUGCCACUACUAAUAUUACAAAAAAAUACUUUUGUUGUUUUUUGGGAAUGGUUCUUUCACAUAUAAACGCGAUAAAGACAGACGACUUUGCCAAAAAGUGGUCUAUACUUCCACCAGUCAGUCUUCUGAUUCUGUGCAUGAUUGACUAAAUCAUGAUUUGGGGUAUUACUGAAGUAUUUAAAUGUAUUACAGACUUGGUUAAACCUGAUGGGUACAACGUUCUACUACUGCCUUACCAAAGUGAGACGCGGACCAAUAAAACAACGUCUUUAACUCAACAUUAACCAACCCCUAACUAUUUAUGACUUUGAUAGUCACACAAACCCCUCUUCAUCACCAAUAGUCAACUACUGGUCCUCGGGGUUCUGUUAUCCAUACUAGGUAAACAAUAAUCUCUCUCCCACGUGGCUUUAGGAAGGUCAAAUCAAACCAGAAAAUCAACUUAUGUUGGAAAAGACGAACAACAAUCAAACCUCAAUAAAGUGAUCAUAUAAUAUGUCUGAAUCUUUUAUAUCAAAAUACUGUGUUUGCUCCAUGUGGAAUCUGGAACCGUACUGUGGAAUGCUACAGUAUAACGGUGCAAUAUUUAUCUUAACCUACCUGGAAGAAACAGAGGGAGAGAAACAUUCAUGAUUCAACCAACUGACACUUACUAACUGGACAGUAAGGCCUCUUGAAAACGAGCCAUAGUCUGCUUCUCAAAUAGGGCACUACUUUAGACCAGUGGCCUUCAGUGGUCAAAAGUAGUGCACUAUAAAGGGAAUGGGUGCUAUUUCAGACAGUCAUAUUCAUGCUCUCUUUUAAAUGGAGACAUAACUUCUUAGCUCUUUCCUCUCAACGCCUCUGUGUAUAUUCUUAGAAAAAAUUGUUCCACAAGGGGUUCUAGAUAGCGCCUUUUAUUGUGUAAGAGCAGUCAUUGUCAAACUAGAUAGUGGUUUAUGUGCAACAUAGUGAUCUCCUCUAGAAAUGUUGUCUCCAACAUGUCUGCAUAAUAUUGAUGAUUACAAUAAUGAGUAUUAAUAUACUAACAGUCUUUUAAGAAGAGGACUUUAAAAGAAAGGUGCUCCUGAUUUUGCUACUCUGGGGAGGUGUUUGUUGACGUCAACCUUUUGUAGGGUUGUUCUGGGUCAGUUAAGUCAUGUCUAUCAAGGUUCAUAUGGAAGUUAUAACCUAUGCAGCUCAAAGUGGAUGCUGUCAGUCAAAGUGGAGGUCAAAACAGCAUACUUCCAUUCCACUACUAGAGCAUGCCCUUUGACCUGUCCCGGUCUUCUACCCAUGCCACAUGGAUGGAUGGAUGGAUGGAUGGAUGCACAAGCAGCACACAACAUGUUUGUAAUAAAGGCUUGGCUUGCUAGCAUGAUGUGGGAUUGGGGAAACCUUACAUCUUUAAAUCGUGGGGAAGCAUUUUGUUCAAACGUAAAUCCUCAACAAGACAGUUAGUUUCCUCUCUGAUAACCACAGCCCAUACAUUGUGAGUUGUCUCAGCAGUAUGAGGUGUUUCUAUACUGGAGCUUCCUGUAUCAUCUUAAAGGUUUCAAUUCAGCCUAACUCGUUACUCCAGUUAGCUUCCUAUAACAUAUGCUAUCCCCAAUAUAAUGAAUUACUCUAGAUAUAUGUUUCAUUCAGGAUAUAUAAAAUAGUGUUUUUAAUUCAGAAACAUUUUUGUGUUUUCUUCCCCCAUUACAUAAUGUAUAAUGGUUGUACAACAAAACUGAAAAAGGGAAGAGAGAGGUUGUUUAAUUAGUAAACACUAACUAGAGCUUGACUUUACCUAGAAAAGGAAAAUAAAGUCUAUAUUUAAAAUAGUUCUUAAAAUAUUUAUGUCUCGAUCAAAAUGAUCAACAACAAUUAAUUUACAAGAAAAUAUAAGAUCCAUCUGUAAUACUGUGGUACAGAGUCACAUCUUAAUAAAGGAAUCUGUAGUACUGUGGUACAGAGUCACAUCUUAAUAAAGGAAUCUGUAAUACUGUGGUACAGAGUCACAUCUUAAUAAAGGAAUCUGUAAUACUGUGGUACAGAGUCACAUCUUAAUAAAGGAAUCUGUAGUACUGUGGUACAGAGUCACAUCUUAAUAAAGGAAUCUGUAAUACUGUGGUACAGAGUCACAUCUUAAUAAAGGAAUCUGUAGUACUGUGGUACAGAGUCACAUCUUAAUAAAGGAAUCUGUGAAAACUGUGACAAAUACAGCUGGUUACUGUUAACAUCACAACAAGAGGAUCAGCCAUUUCAACCAAGCCUGUUUAGAUUAGGAGAUGAGCUCUCUAGUACGUCUCUAUGGUCAUCUCUCAGUCGAGGAUAUGUGACAAGCCUGUUUAGAUAGAUGAGCUCUCUAGUACAUCUCUAUGGUCAUCUCUCAGUCGAGGAUACGUGACAAGACUGUUUAGAUAGAUGAGCUCUCUAGUACAUCUCUAUGGUCAUCUCUCAGUCGAGGAUACGUGACAAGCCUGUUUAGAUAGAUGAGCUCUCUAGUACGUCUCUAUGGUCAUCCCUCAGUCGAGGAUAUGUGACAAACUGACCUGAACAGCAGUCCAUGGUGAACUAUCAAUGUCUUUGGCCAGUGUCACCCAGAUACUGUCCCCCCAGCUAGUAAUCAUGUAGUGGCCCACUGGCGGUCCACAUCCAGCAUAGUUAGCAGUCCACAGCUGGUAAACCACUUGUCAGUGUCCGAACAUGUUCUUCAGAAAGUCCUUAACACUUUUCCUUCAGACAAAGUGACUGACUGACUGAUCCUAAAGGUUCUCUAAAAGAGAACAAAAUGAGCUCCAUAUUUAUGAUCUUUCAACAUCACUGAGGGAAACGGAGAAUAUUUUUUGGCAAAUUAGAUUUUUUGGUGAAAUGUCUAUAAAUAUCAUUGUAUUGUAUGUAUAGCUAUUUGUUAAUAUAAGCCUAUAUAACUAGUCAACAAGAGGAGGUCUUUCCAGUGCUACAAAUUGCACCUCAUCCACCUUGAUAAUUAAUUGAUAAUUAAAAGCCUCAACUUUCAUAUAAUCACCUAUGUUUCUAUGAGUAGCAGUACCUUUUCUGUCAACAACUUCCCCAGCAUGCCACAGCCACAACGCUACAGAGACAACAGCGAAGACAUCUCAGCCGGCCUGACAAGACAUCCAUGGCUUUCAACAAUUGCACUAUCAUCCGAGACGCGUAGCGGUGCCACACAAACACUGCAGCACAAGAGUUUAGCACACAGCACCCUGAAUGAACAUGGGGAAAUUCACAGGACACAAUCUAAAAACAGGACGACGUAGCUAAAUGUUUAGAGGGGACUCUAAACCAAACACACUCGAUGACAGCACUGACUGAAGCAGGGGUGCAAAUACAGCAACACAAAGGCUUUGGAAGAGAUACUGUAGGUAGAUUAUGUACAUUGGCCUAACCUCAGACCUUUAUAUGGAAAUUAUUACAUAUACUUAUGUCCUAAAUGGCACCAUAUUCCCUAUAUACUAUAUAGUACACUACAUUUUACCAGAGCCCUAUUCCCUAUAUAGUGCACUACAUUUGACCAGAGCCCUAUUGCCUAUAUAGUACACUACAUUUGACCAGAGCCCUAUUCCCUAUAUAGUGCACUACAUUUGACCAGAGCCCUAUUCCCUAUAUAGUACACUACAUUUGACCAGGGCCUAUAGCCUAAGCCUCCUUCAGAAAGCCCUUUUAAUGCUAAAAUACAAUCCAUUGUCUCAUCAUUGUCCCUUUAUCAAUAAAAGUCCCCGAAAAUGAUAUGACAUUGUUGUAGGAGUAAACGUACCUUACCCUUUGUUCAAUCAAAAUACAAACAAGGGGUCAAAGUCGGCUAAGGAGGACGUGCAGUUCAACAACGACGUCAUAUAGUUCUGUUGCAACACCACCUGGACAUUUCACUCAAUACAUUCUCAAAUAUCAAUCUUUCCUUUAUACCCUGACAUUCAGAGGAGUAAUAUAUGGUAUUUAUAAACGAAGCUAUGAUAAUAUAUAGUUUAUAAAAAAAUAUACAAUCGUGGACCAGUGAAAUGAUGUGUCAUUCCAUCAUGACCAGUGCUAUGCCUUUUGGACAAGUCCAUGCACGUUAUACAAUAAUACUUUGAUGUUUCCUCCUGUUAAUAAACUCUCUUCCAAAACUAUGUAUACCUUCAAUAAAUAUCCUUAUUCGUCAGAUGGAUUGUCAAUGUGAUAAAAUCAAAUUUGUCUACUGGGUUUAUCUUGUGGGGAAUACGCUCUCAAAGAGACCACAUGUAAAACUAUUUCACAUCAUGCAUGUAAAAACAAUAACGCAAUGAUGAUGUCAGACAGGCAACCGGUCUUAUAUUCAACAGCUCUUUUCCCCUCUGUCUUAUAGCAACUAUUUACCCUCACCAUCAGAUAAAGGAUGAACACAGUCACCUUGUCCCCCCCUAAAAAAUGUCCUCUGAAAUGAGGUUGGGGUCAGAGUUAAGGGCUGGGGAUAAAGGAUAGUUCCUAUUUGGUAUAGUCGUCAAAACCUUCUUUUCAUCAUACAUACAGUAAUCUGUGACAUGAAAUGGUUGCUCAGUUAUCAACAGAAUAAGACAGUAAGAAAGAGUGUUAUGCCCUGCUUCAGAUAAAGUACAGCCACUUUUCACCACUUGGAUAAACACAAGAUAUGCAAAAUCAGUUUUUAACAAAGCAUGUCCUCUCCUGUCGGUCUGUCCAACACAGUAGCUGCAAUAUGUAUUGACCCUAAGUUGAUAUUUACAAAACAAAUAUAUUGAAAAUAGCAACCCUUUUCUUUGUAGUUAUAAUACGGAACUUUGCCUGUUAAAAAAUCAACACAUUUCAAAACUUGGCACACUGAAAUGCUGAACUGAAAUCUCAUGCAAUAAUGUACAUCUAGUAGUUUUUCAAUUCAUGAACGUUUAUGACAACUAAUAAAAAGAGAAAAUAGAUGGAAAUCAAGAAUUAAAUACAUCUUAUUAUAUACUGAAAUGAACCUGAUUUCAAGUAUAACAGGUUUCUUCCUCAAUUUAAAAUAACGCUGUAACCCAACAAAACAAAAAAACAUAAAUAUAUUAUAUCUAUAAUACAAUUUGUUCUCUUUAUCACUUCUUUUGUACAACUGUAUUUUUAAAAAUGUUUUAUAAUUAAUAAUAUGAAUCUUCUUGUUUAAGUUAGUGCAUUGUUUUUGCAUAUCUUGUGGAAUGCAAGCACGCACCCACUCACUCCUUACUAUACCAACAUACUGUGUUAGCGUCCAACAAACAACAUAGAUGUCAUGACUGAUGUACCAACUCCUCACAGGGAUUGUACCAGCCUCUGGCAUUCUCUCACAAACUCACAGCCACAAACAAUGGGUCUCAGGCCUCCCAAUUCAAAAAUACUAUGAAGUACCCUUGAAGUACUCUUGAAGUACUGUAUGUAUAUGAAUAUAUGUAUGGCACAGUUUGUUGGGGAUAUAUAGAAACCAAAAUAAUCUAUACUGUAGAAAUAGGAUGGUGGGGGAAGGGGUGGGUGAGUGGAAGUCUCUACUUAAACGUUCACAAGCUUUGCAUUAUUUUGGAGUGGAGUGUCAUCGUUUCAAGUAAACAUUCAUCAGGCUAUAUGGCUAUAAGUGUGAGCCUUCAGAGAGGAGCUUAGUUACCCUGCAGCUAGCUAUACAACAUGGAUGGUAAAGUGGUAGGAUGGUAACAUGGUAGGAUGAUAAAGUGGUAGAAUGGUAACGUGGUAGGAUGGUAACUUGGUAGGAUGGUAAAGUGGUAAGAUGGUAAAGUGGUAGGAUAGUAAAGUGGUAGGAUGGUAACGUGGUAGGAUGGUAAAGUGGUAGGAUGGUAAAGUGGUAGGAUGGUAAAGUGGUAGGAUGGUAACUUGGUAGGAUGGUAACUUGGUAGGAUGGUAACGUGGUAGGAUGGUAAAGUGGUAAGAUGGUAAAGUGGCAGGAUGGUCACGUGGUAGGAUGGUAACUUGGUAGGAUGGUAACGUGGUAGGAUGGUAAAGUGGUAAGAUGGUAAAGUGGUAGGAUGGUAACGUGGUACGAUGGUAAAGUGGUAAGAUGGUAAAUUGGUAGGAUGGUAACGUGGUACGAUGGUAAAGUGGUAAGAUGGUAAAGUGGUAGGAUGGUAACGUGGUAGGAUGGUAAAGUGGUAGGAUAGUAACGUGGUAGGAUGGUAAAGUGGUAGGAUGUAAAGUGGUAGGAUGGUAACGUGGUAGGAUGGUAACUUGGUAGGAUGGUAACGUGGUAGAAUGGUAAAGUGGUAAGAUGGUAAAGUGGUAGGAUGGUAACGUGGUACGAUGGUAAAGUGGUAGGAUGGUAACUUGGUAGGAUGGUAACGUGGUAGGAUGGUAAAGUGGUAGGAUGGUAAUGUGGUAGGAUGGUAACUUGGUAGGAUGGUAACGUGGUAGGAUGGUAAAGUGGUAGGAUGGUAAUGUGGUAGGAUGGGAACUUGGUAGGAUGGUAAAGUGGUAGGAUGGUAAAAUGGUAAGAUGGUAAAGUGGUAGGAUGGUAACUUGGUAGGAUAGUAACGUGGUAGGAUGGUAAAGUGGUAGGAUGUAAAGUGGUAGAAUGGUAGAUUUGGAUUACUGUAACUAACAACAACUCUGGGAUAUAUAGGGAAUGGGAAAGACCGUCAUCAACAUUACAAUCUGUCCUGCAAGACUGAAAGCCCAAAGACCUCCUCAACCUUGAUGUUCAGACCCAUGAUAAAAAAAGGAUUUUGGACGGCGGAAAAAGCAUUGAAAAUCUAUAUUUUAUAAAUGUUUUAAGCUUGACACGUGUGCACUGUACAGACAACGUAGUGACAUCCUAGCCAGUCCUUACUGUACCACAGAGAUUCAUACUGUAUCAUCAGGACAGAUUUAUCACACUACAAUAUCAUUGAUACGGUGAACACUUUGAACAUCAUAUUUGCAUAAUUAGGUUGAUAAUAAUACACGAGUCAGUCUGAGUCAUGCUUACGGUCAGUCGCUCCACAAGGCAGAGACAUCCAACAGGAGAGGUACAAUCACAAUCCCACUAAUCAUGUAUGUCUCCCUGUAAAGUGUUUACUGGAAAAAGGAUCCUAACGCCAAUGUCCUGCUAUUACGUGGCAUUCCUUCUUUACGCACCGAAUAUUAUCUUUGUCUCUUUGUCUACGAGUACCGUCUGGCUGCAGUCUGUGAGUUAGGGUCAUUUAUUCCGUCUGUCGGCGAUGAUGUAAUGGACAGGAGCACAGAGCUUGUUCAGAUGCAUCUCAUUAGGCCUGGCAGGCCCAUAGAGUUGGAUAGAGGGCACAUUUGGCCAGUUUUAACAUAGAGAUGAGCUCUCUACUACAUAUCUAUGGGAGUGCCUAACAGGGUGAAAUAUAGUAAUCAUCAUGUCACAGCUCAGGUGUCGAAGGUCACAGAUCCCCUGUCUGAUUGGCUUAUCCUGUUCUGUUCUCUGAUUGGUCUAUCCCGUCCUGCCCUCUGAUAGGCUCCUUGAUGAGAUCUGAUGAAAACCUCUGUAGUUCAAUAUUCAGAACAACAAACAACCAUGAAAUAAUUAAAGCAGCGAUAGGAGUAAAAACACAGCUUUGGAAGCAUGCCUGUCAAAUGGUUUUCUGUUCAGGUGGUAGGGUGAUAGAUACAAGUGAAACAUGACACCAUACUUAGUUAAUGCUACCUUAAUUUAACCGUUUAGGUAUAGUGUUGCUUUUAAGAAACAGCGAUACAUAUUUCACCCCCUCACCUCCAAAUACAGCUUUCACCUCAGGGACAAAAUAAAUAAAUAAAUAAAUACAAUGUGUUUAAAAGAUGCAUACUAAUAGGUACACAUUUUACUACGUCCUGCCGCUGCACCCCACACACACAGGUUUCAAUACUUCUUAACUUCCUAAAAUCUCCUAAAAAAUAAAUCAAGCAAAAUCCACAGUUAGGGCCAGCACCCCGAUUUGGGCAAAAAUAAGGAUAAAUAACAUCAUGAAAAAUAACAAAUGAAGAAAUCAAGUCUGGCCAGUUUUGCACAAUACUGUUUGUGUGUGUGUGUAAAAUACAUGAAGUGGAUUGGAUUCUGAUCUGUGUGUUGUGGUGAUUAUAGCAACUUGGCACCAACACCUAGCCACUGUAUUGUCACAGACAAGAAAGGCCAUAUCUUACCUCAGCCCUGCCCAGUUUCUCCUCCUUUCCUACACUCAUCCCCCAAAACAUCCUACAGCGAGGAUAGCAGGAUGAACGGACCACUGAGGAGUUUAAAACUAUAACUGAUAAACGACUACAACCAAAACAAUGCAGAUUUAAUAACUGAACUGAGAGAGAGAGAGAGAGAGAGAGAGAGAGAGAGAGAGAGAGAGAGAGAGAGAGAGAACGGACGGAGGAUGGGAGGUUGAGGUAACCAUGGCAGCUAGGUGGCGCUGUCCCUGUUUAGGACGGCUGCAUGUGAUGAGGAAGUGGCGGCAUUAUGACAGAGAGGGAGGUGUGCGAGUGGUGGAGGGAGGAAAGAGGGAUGGAGGAGAGGAGAAGGGCGUAGGCUGUUGGUGGACAGUACGACAGCUGAGCAUGAUAAAGAUAAACACAUCCUGGAUGUUGGUGUCUCUCUGUGUCGCUCCCUGUCGUUGGCUCCUCCUUCAGAUCCUGGAUGUUGGUGUCUCUCUGUGUCGCUCCCUGUCGUUGGCUCCUCCUUCAGAUCCUGGAUGUUGGUGUCUCUCUGUGUCGCUCCCUGUCGUUGGCUCCUCCUUCAGAUCCUGGAUGUUGGUGUCUCUCUGUGUCGCUCCCCU
rnacentral:lncRNA from 1 species